UUUUUUGGUUUUUUUUUUUUUUUCUGCAUUUGGUUGUCUCUCUCUUUCGAAAGAAACCAAAGUCGAAAGGAAGAAUCGAUUUUUCAUAAUUUGAUUCACAACCCAUCGGUUUCCAGAUAAAAUUGAUCUUUUGAUCUUUUGAUUCACAACCCAUGGGUAUUAAUCUUUUGAUUUCUGAGGAGCUAAUUCUGGGUAUUAAUCGCCUCAGAAAUCUAAAGAUUAAUACCCUCCAAUUGAUUUGUUUUAUCUGUUUUUGCCGAUGAAACUGGGAAUUAGUCUUUAGUUAAUCUACGGAAUUCAGAUUCUAUUGAGUUGGUUUUAUCUCGAAUUGGUAUUUAGUUGAUAAGUUCAGUGGAGGGCUUUGUUCUGUUCUCUUUUGUGUUUGAUGCUUGAGGACUUAUUAUUCUUCAAUUGUUUAGUUUUGGUCGAAGUUAGGAUCGAUUAUUCAUAUCUUAUUCAUUCUUCAAUUGUUUAGUUUUGUCUUUUGUCUUUGAUGCUUGAGGACUUUUUCAUGCUUGAGGACCUUUGAACGAACCUGUAUAAGCCUAUAUUUUUGGGAACCGCCGACCCAAAUACGGAGCUCAGCAAGCUAACUCGGGCAUGUAACACUCAAAAUUGUAUUCGUGCUGGUGGAAAGCAUAAUGAUUUGGACGAUGUCGGCAAAGAUACUUACCAUCACACCUUCUUCGAAAUGCUUGGUAACUGGUCAUUUGGAGAUUAUUUCAAGAACGAAGCUAUUGGAUGGGCUUGGGAGCUCUUAACUAAGGUCUAUUGACUACCGACUGAUCGACUUUACGCUACCUAUUUUGGCGGUGAUGAGAAAGCUGGCCUUCAACCCGAUAAUGAGGCUAGAGAUAUAUGGUUGAAGUUUCUUCCACCUGGACGUGUACUACCCUUUGGUUGCAAAGUAUGUUUGCUUCACUACUCCCAUAAACAUGAUUUUGAAACCAAGUAAAAUUGAACAACAUUAUAAAAUAUACUUAAAAACAGAUUUUUAACAAAAAUUAUAUAAGACCCUAAGAGAUGACUAAUGGAAGGAGAAAAAAUUAAAACAAGGGAAUGAAGAUCUAAACUUAUAUUACUGUUUUUUUUAACAUUAUUAAAAGUUAAAGACACUAAAUAGAGGAUGACUAAUGGGCAUAGAAGAGCGUGCGUGAGAGAGGUGGGGGGAGAAUUUAUGUGGGACCCAUUUAUAUGAGAUAUAAUUUUUGUUUUUGUUUU